AGCGCCAAUCGUGUAUAUUAAGGUUGUUGCAGUUCAAAAGCUCAUAAUUGGAUUUCUAGCUGGACAUAUUAGUCUGCUCUUACGAGUGUGUACAAUGCAUAUUUGGCCAUUCUUUGGGAAAGCCAUAGUGGCAUUAAGUUGUUGGUGUGAGGAUCCCAAUCAUUUACUGUGAAUAAUUUAUAGUGUUCAAAGCAGACUUGCACUGUUGAAUAUAUUAACAUGAAAUAUAAACAUAGGACUAUUGUACUAUUUUUUGAUUUAUGCACAAUAGUAGUGAUUAACAAGGACAGCUGGAGAUAUUUGUAUUCCAUUGUCAAAGGUGAAAUUCUUGGAUAAAAGCAUUUACCAAAGAUGUUUUCA
rnacentral:rRNA from 1 species